AAGAGCACGCCCUACUCUCUGUGCGUAAUGACGCACUUGCGCAGGAGCAAUGUCACAGUCGCAACACCGAUUUAUUCUGAACUGAAUAAUAAUUGUUAUAAACCACAGAUACGGAUGUUCAUCCUUAUUGCAACAACGAUUUGCAUAACAUUUCCAAUCCCUUGUGAGGGCCGUGAGCGGUGGAUGAGGCUAGGAUCCAGGAGCGCCCUGCAGCCUCCCAAUGGUCUCCCCCACUAUGAAGGCACUGGUGGACGCUGUGUGGGCGGUGUGGAGCAUCAGUGCCUCCGUCUAUGACUACAUACACACCAGCGCCAUGGAGGAGCGCAUCCACACGCUGGAGACCGUCAUCACCAUUCACCAGUGUGUCAUCGCAGCGCUGACCGCUGGAGUGGUGGUGCUUUUCACCUACAUACUGUUGAGGAAGCACUGAGGGGCAGUGAGGAAGGAGAAGCCACGCAGGGCCCAGGAGGCAAGUUGUGAGGACAACACUGGAUUACCAUAGUGAUCAGAAGCAUUGAGACUGUGGGUCUGGACAGUCAUCCAGAGCCCUGGAGAGGUCUACCGGCCUACAUGGAUUAGAUGGAGCAGGACUUGAUUAAUAAGGGAUUUUGGCUACUAGCAAAGUUUUGGGUUAUUUGGCCUUUAUCUCGGCUGCCAAUUGUACCAUUCUACUGCGGAGGUGUUGCUGGACACUGUGUCUCAUGGAGUCAAUGGUUUCACUCACUUUGCACCCAUGGAAGUUGAAGACAUGGGCAGAGAUGGGCAAAAGAUGCAUGAAAAUGUAUCUUUUUACAAAUACAAGUUACUCUAAAGACCAAUGUAUCAAACUAAAAUACAAAAUACUUUUGCGAAGUAUUGUAUUUAGAAUGAUUUAUUUUUUAAUACAAAAUACAUUUGCAAGUACACGCCUUCACUACAACAGUAUUCUUAGUAUUCUUAACAGAAACAAAAAAACAUUUAACUUGCUAUGACUGUAAAAUGUGGUUGUUUAUCUACCUUGUUUGAAUGCACUGACUAAGUCGCUGUGGAUAAAUGUCUACUAAAUGACCUAAAUGUAAAAAUGAACAAUUGCAAAGCACACUGGGUAUUAUUAUUGGCCUCAUUUUGUGGGCGGAGCUCAUCAACAAUGCCCAGCAUGCUUUGCAGAUGUACAUUUUUACAUUUAGAUGUUGUUCAUUCAGCAGACACUCAUAUCACACCAUAGUGCCGUGACUUCUGAUACCAAUGAUACCAAUGCAGGGUGAAAGGGGGCCACCAAAUGUUGAACCGCUAUAAAAUUAAAAAAAGGAUAUAGAAAAUUAUUUUGUAUUUUGAAAAUAUAAAUUACAUGUCUCAAGUAUGUUACAAACUACAUUGGAUUGUAGUUCAGGCCGGUGAAAUACAAAUGACAAAAUACUCAAAAGCAAAUAUGAAUUUCAAUUACAUGUAACAGGAAUACUGCCCAUCUCUGGAUGUGGGAAUGCUAAAACCACAGAGAUACCUCAACCUGCAGACUGUAAUCUAAUAACGCACUAAAGGGAUGCUAACUAUCAUUAGGUUUGCCUGCCUUAAUAUGCCUCAAGUGGUUUCACUCCCCAGAUGGUAUAGCAUUAUUAGUUAGUUAGGUUUUCAUGUUGGCUCUAAUUGCUUAUCCCGCCUGUAUGAUGCAUGGGAAAACUGUAAACUGGGGAUUCCCUCUUCAAACCCGUGAUUGUAAUAGGUGCCAGCCCAACAGUCUAUACAGGUCUAUAAUUGGAAGUCUUGGUCAUGAAGAUGAAAGCGUUCACUUAGAGGUUAACUAUUAUAUCACCCAGUGAGGGAGAGUGGAAUAUCAUGGGACGGACUGAAUGUAUUCUCAAGAGGCCUUAUUUGUUGUAGAAAACUGGCCUCGAGGUUCUCCUAUGAAUUCCUCUGUAGGAGAAGGAGUUUCUGUGAAGCAUUCAAAAGGUCAAUACACUGGUCGCCAUGAAUGCCAUUUAGUACAGUACAUAUUCUUUGAUAACUUCUUUAAAGCAUGUUUAUUUGAUUACUAAAAUAAAUAAUUGUAGAUGGUCUUGUAAUGCAAGACUUUGUAGUGGCAUUUCGUGGCGUUAGUUGAACAUGGCUACAGCUGUGAAGGUUACGUCACUGGAAAGAGUAUUUAGAAGCAUCCUUACCUGUAAAAUAUGAAUCAACCUGAAUGUUUUGGUACAUUGUUUAUACAUGUUUCAGUAAUGAUCACUCUUAACAUUAAAAGGGUAUUAAACACAUUGUAGGACUUAAUAUAUUUAUGGCAGUUUUUUUUAAGUGCAAUGUUAUGUUGUAUAAUUAAUUUAAAUUGUUCACUUGCUACAAUAUGACGAAUACACAAUGUUUGCCCUAUCAUCUUGUUCAGAUUGCCUAAAUGGGCCUCAAUGGAAUGUUUUAGGUAAAUCAAAUGUGACAAACGGCCUCCAUGGCAACAAAACAUUUAAUCACCUCCUGGAUCUUUGUGUGAAUGUACAGUGCCUUCAGAAAGUAUUCAGACCCCAUGACUUUAUCCACAUUUUGUUAAGUUACAGCCUUAUUCUAAAAUGGAUUAAAUAAAAACAUUUCCUCAGCAAUCUACUCACAAUACCCCAUAAUGACAAAGCAAAAACAAGUUCAUAGAAUUUUUUGCUAAUAAAAAAAGAUGUUUA